UACGAAGGGGGCUAGCGUUGCUCGGAAUCACUGGGCGUAAAGGGUGCGUAGGCGGGUUUUUAAGUCAGAGGUGAAAUCCUGGAGCUCAACUCCAGAACUGCCUUUGAUACUGAGAAUCUUGAGUUCGGGAGAGGUGAGUGGAACUGCGAGUGUAGAGGUGAAAUUCGUAGAUAUUCGCAAGAACACCAGUGGCGAAGGCGGCCAACUGGUCCGGUACUGACGCUGAGGUGCGAAAGCGUGGGGAGCAAACAGG
rnacentral:rRNA from 1 species